CCUACGGGAGACAGCAGUGAGGAAUAUUGGUCAAUGGACGAAAGUCUGAACCAGCCAAGUAGCGUGAAGGAUGACUGCCCUAUGGGUUGUAAACUUCUUUUAUAAAGGAAUAAAACGAGGCACGUGUGCCUUUUUGCAUGUACUUUAUGAAUAAGGAUCGGCUAACUCCGUGCCAGCAGCCGCGGUAAUACGGAGGAUCCGAGCGUUAUCCGGAUUUAUUGGGUUUAAAGGGAGCGUAGAUGGGUUGUUAAGUCAGUUGUGAAAGUGUGCGGCUCAACCGUAAAAUUGCACUUGAUACUGGGAGUCUUGAGUACAGUUGAGGUAGGCGGAAUGCGUGGUGUAGCGGUGAAAUGCUUAGAUAUCACGAAGAACCCCGAUUGCGAAGGCAGCUUACUAAACUGUGACUGACAUUGAUGCUCGAAAGUGUGGGUAUCAAACAGGAUUAGAUACCCGAGUAGUC
rnacentral:rRNA from 1 species